AUCCAGCUGAAGAGUCCCAAAUAGGAGGAAACGUGCGUCUUGUGU
rnacentral:hammerhead_ribozyme from 1 species